rnacentral:rRNA from 1 species
UAAGGAAUAUUGGACAAUGGAGGCAACUCUGAUCCAGCCAUGCCGCGUGAAGGAAUAAGGCCCUAUGGGUUGUAAACUUCUUUUAGACGGGACAAAACCCCUUUACGUGUAAAGGGUUGAUGGUACUGUCAGAAUAAGCAUCGGCUAACUUCGUGCCAGCAGCCGCGGUAAUACGAAGGAUGCAAGCGUUAUCCGGAAUUAUUGGGUUUAAUGGGUGCGUAGGCGGACUAAUCAGUCAGUGGUGAAAGCCUGCAGCUUAACUGCAGAAUUGCCAUUGAUACUGUUAGUCUUGAGUACAGUUGAGGUAGGCGGAAUGUGUCAUGUAGCGGUGAAAUGCUUAGAUAUGACACAGAACACCGAUUGCGAAGGCAGCUUGCUAAGCUGUAACUGACGCUGAGGCACGAAAGCGUG